UACGUAGGGUGCGAGCGUUAAUCGGAAUUACUGGGCGUAAAGCGUGCGCAGGCGGUUUUGUAAGCCAGAUGUGAAAUCCCCGGGCUUAACCUGGGAAUGGCAUUUGGGGACUGCAAGGCUUGAGUGCGGCAGAGGAGACUGGAAUUCCUGGUGUAGCAGUGAAAUGCGCAGAUAUCAGGAGGAACACCGGUGGCGAAGGCGGGUCUCUGGGGCCGAUACUGACGCUGAGGAGCGAAAGCGUGGGGAGCGAACAGG
rnacentral:rRNA from 1 species